ensembl:lincRNA cardiac mesoderm enhancer-associated non-coding RNA
GCUUCUUCAGCUCAUAUAAGGUAAAAGGCAGCGAGGCCUCGGUGGCCAGAGAGCCACGGGCAAGGGGCUGAGCAGAGGGGGGUUCCAGUGCCAGUUGCUUAAAAAUGCCCCUGUAGCACCAAGAGGUGCCAGACCCAAGUGAACUUAGUUGAGAAGCAAUAACACCCACAACCACACCCCAAAUAGACUGGGCCUCCACCUCCGAAGAUUCAUCCCUGGACCAGACACCAGUCAAGGCAAGAGUGAUGGCUGGUAGGAUUCCUCCUACACUGGAGAAGAGCCCCAGAGAGGAACCUUCCUGAGAAGCCGAGAAGGGACAGCAACAGCCACCCAGCUCCCAGAACUCGUCCCCUCCUCUCACCCCUCCCGGGAGCUUCCCAACAGACAGAAGGGAGAGAUCCCCUUGCCUGGAGACAUCUUCUGAAGACAUGGGAAAAGGAGACAAGGCGGGCUACUCCCUGGCAGCAGGCCUUCAAGCUGUUGACAACCAGUACCAAGAAGAGUGCCAGGUAAGAUCUGGAGUCCACCUGGUUCAGCCACCGCUUUAACAGAAUGGAGAACGGGAGAUGAAGGGACCCAGUGAGAAAUAUCCCUGCUCUCUGGGGAUAGAGCUUGGCUCUCUGAGCCUCUCUCAUCUUCGAAACGGCAGCUCAGGGAGGGCGAAGGAGCCUUUCCUGUAGUGAAUGAAAGGCUCCUUCAAAUACUUCUUCUCAGGGAGGCUACAUCUGAGGGAGCCAGGGGUCCAGACAAGCUCUGCCUACCAGCCCAGGACGUGUAUGUUCAUGGGCCCAGAGAAAAAAGGCAUACCUUCCAGUCCUACUGUUCCUUCCCACCAUCCCCAGUCCCCACCCCACCCCACUCCUUCCAGGAGGCCUUUUGAGCUACUCAAGGGGUGGGGGGAAGGAACCUCCCUGGCCACGAUCUCUUGGCAGUCUUUCCACGGGCUCUCUAGAGUUCCGAUGAGUCUGCCCCCAUGCCCUCUUUGGGUGCCUUCCUUCCCCCUCAGCCUUCUGUGUCCUGCAAGGACAAGGACAGUAUUAAGGCUGCAGUGCAGGGACAUACUCCCUUAGCACAUAGAGAUGGUUCUGGAUCUGCUGAAUGAGCUGUCCCACACCCAGAGAGCUAAGAAACUGAGAUGUCAGGCAUGGAGUUGAAGGUGAGGGGCCAGGCCCAGCAUGGUACCUUACACUCCAACCCCGGGGAAAAUUCUAUUUCCUUGGAGUCUUGGAGACCUAUGGGGAUAUGUGCAUUUAAAUGUUCACCAGCUUGACUAUUCUAGAAUCACAGGGACAGAACGAGAUAGUCUUUAUCCAGGGAUGGGACAAGUAAGAAGAGGCAAAGACCUUUCCUGGCUGAACGCCUCCCUCUCCAUACUGUCUGGCCAUUUACGUCUCCUUAAGGAAGAUGGACCACCUUCUGUCUAGUUCUCGUGUCCCGCCAAGAAGAUGUAAAAUCUUUGCCACGUUCUCCUUUAUCCCAAGGUGGGACGGCAGCAGCUCUCAUUUCCCCUUUCUGAGUUGCUGUCUGCAAAUCUAGAAUGCCCUAUCCCCAUUCCUGAUCCUCCAACCAAGGUGAUCAUUUCCAGCCACAAAAGCUGACCAGAAGGUAGAGCAGGCUCUGCUGUCCCGCCCCAAACCUAAUCAGUGGAUGUCCUGUUUUUCACUUUCGUCUGCAAUUUUAUUGUAAAGAGUAAGGGGAAUCCUUUUAUGUACCUAGGUUGGAAUACUUGUUAUAAAUGGAAAGCUAACACCAGCCAGAGUUUUAAACAAUAAUAAUGAUGAAGAUGCAACAUC